GAAACAGCAGUGGGUUGUGAACAGUGCUGUUGUGAUAACAGCCACAUGAAACCCUGCAUGAUCGUCUGCAGGGACGCAGAAUGGAGUCCGUCUCUCUCGGCCCCAGGGGAGCGGGGCUGCAAGCACAAAUCUUGGAAAGAGUGGAAAGAGAGAACACAGGAUGUUGGAAAACUCUCUGCAGCGUUUCUGUCAUGUUGUGUGGGGAGAAGCAAAGACGGGCAUAGCAAGAAGGAAGAUCUGGAUGAUGUUCAUCAGCUUUGGGCAACAUCAAACCUUUCAAUGAGCACAAGUCUUCAAAUGACAUCGAGUGAGAAACAAGCAUUUGGUCCAUGUAAAUAGAUCAACAUCACAAAAGUCUUCAUGAAGAAACGAGGGAAUAUGCCCACUACAAGCAGCUCCAUGGAGGUCCUUGUCCUGGUCCUGCCUUCUGAACAUGGGCCCAUAGAGCCCACUGAUGGAGGAGGUGACCACCUCCUCCGGAAUGAUCCGGGCAAUGUACCUUCUUGACCGCACCUGAUGGACACGUGGUAUUCUUCAGCAGGCUGCUUUCCUUGAUUGGAAUUAUUUUUCUCUGUAUUAAUAUUCACCAGGUUUUCAUUUUCCAUUUACAACAUUUGAGAACCAAGGUGGCGUUUAUAAAAAUCCACUUGUAAAAUUUGUCAGGCUGAUUGUAAAUGCACAAACAGGGUUUUUUACGUGUUUCCAGAGAGAAGUGCUAUGGUAACUAUUUAUUUUGCCUUGGAAGGAUAAGUCAGUAUGUGAUAAACAUAGAUCUGAGGUGCCUGUCUGGCUGCACCCUCACUUGCAAAUGGAAGCCCAUGGCUACAAGGGAUUGCUAUUUUGAAAAUCCAAGCCCCAGAAUUAACAUAAAUAAGCUACAAUUGAAAAUGAGAUUUCUUCCCACCUGAGGCAGGAAGAAUUAACUUGCAGGAAUCCUAUGUAGCAACAAAGGCACUUCUCCUUUGUGUUCUCAGAGAAAGAAACAGCAUCACAAAUAAGUUAGAUAAAGACAUCCCAGCCAGUGUGGUUUUAUUA